rnacentral:rRNA from 1 species
AAUCCCGUGAACCAUCGAGUCUUUGAACGCAAGUUGCGCCCGAAGCCUUCGGGCCGAGGGCACGCCUGCCUGGGCGUCACGCAUCGCGUCGCCCCCUCCCCCCGCUCCCCUGGAGCGGGGGGUCGGAGAAUGGCCUCCCGUGCGCUACGUCGCGCGGCCGGCCC